GAGGGGCCGCUGAGGGGAGGGCCGCUGAGGGGAGCGCCGCGCCGGGAGCCGCAGGCCUCAGCGGGGACGGAAGCAGGCGGUGAAGGGCGGGCGGCCAUCUUGGGGCCGGGCGGGCCGCCGCCGCGCUGCCAUGCCGCAAGAUGGCGGACGCGGCAGGCGGAGGGCGGGGCUGCGCGGGGCGGCGCGCCCGGUUACCGCGGCAACGGGGAGCCCCGGGCUCAAGGCGGGCCCGGUCCGCGCGGUUUGAUGCGGGCGCCGUAACCGCGGGCAGGACGGGCGGCGGCAGGUCGCUGCGUCCGGCUGAGAGGAAGGAGAGCAGAUCCCUCCCAGGCAGCUGUCGCUGAGGAAGAUCCCCUCCUGAUAGCUCGAGGAUGGUUUCUGCAGGCUUUCCUCUCUCCCCUCUGGUGGCCCCGGGACAGCUCUAGAUAUUGUCACUUGCUGGUUCUCCCAGCUCACCUAUCCUGAUGUAUAUCAGGCAUUCUUGAAUAGGAGAUUGCGGGGCUACAUAAAAUAAUAAUAAAUAAUUAUCUGUAUGAA